rnacentral:rRNA from 1 species
AUACGUAGGGGGCGAGCGUUGUCCGGAAUGAUUGGGCGUAAAGGGCGCGUAGGCGGCCCGGUAAGUCUGGAGUGAAAGUCCUGCUUUUAAGGUGGGAAUUGCUUUGGAUACUGUCGGGCUUGAGUGCAGGAGAGGUAAGUGGAAUUCCCAGUGUAGCGGUGAAAUGCGUAGAGAUUGGGAGGAACACCAGUGGCGAAGGCGACUUACUGGACUGUAACUGACGCUGAGGCGCGAAAGUGUGGAGAGCAAACAGGAUUAGAUACCCUGGUAGUCCACACUGUAAACGAUGAAUGCUAGGUGUUGGAAAAAUCCAGUGCUGAAGUUAACGCAUUAAGUAUUCCGCCUGAGUAGUACGUACGCAAGUAUGAAACUCAAAUGAAUUGACGGGG